rnacentral:rRNA from 1 species
GCUCAGGACGAACGCUGGCGGCGGGCCUAACACAUGCAAGUCGAACGCACUCGACCUUCGGGUCACAUGAGUGAGUGGCGAACGGGUGAGUAACACGUGAGAAACCUGCCCCGAAGACUGGAAUAACCCGGGGAAACUCGGGCUAAUACCGGAUGCCCCCAUCGGAUCGCAUGGUCUGGUGAGGAAAUGCUCCGGCGCUUCGGGAGGGUCUCACGGCCUAUCAGCUAGUUGGUGAGGUAACGGCUCACCAAGGCAACGACGGGUAGCUGGUCUGAGAGGACGAUCAGCCACACUGGGACUGAGACACGGCCCAGACUCCUACGGGAGGCAGCAGUGGGGAAUCUUGCGCAAUGGGCGAAAGCCUGACGCAGCCACGCCGCGUGAGGGAUGAAGGCUCUCGGGUUGUAAACCUCUUUCAGCAGGGACGAAAAUGACGGUACCUGCAGAAGAAGCUCCGGCCAACUACGUGCCAGCAGCCGCGGUAACACGUAGGGAGCGAGCGUUGUCCGGAUUUAUUGGGCGUAAAGAGCUCGUAGGCGGUUCGGUAAGUCAGGUGUGAAAGCUCGAGGCUCAACCUCGAGAAGCCACCUGAUACUGCUGUGACUUGAGUCCGGUAGGGGAGUGUGGAAUUCCUGGUGUAGCGGUGAAAUGCGCAGAUAUCAGGAGGAACACCUACAGCGAAGGCAGCACUCUGGGCCGGUACUGACGCUGAGGAGCGAAAGCGUGGGGAGCGAACAGGAUUAGAUACCCUGGUAGUCCACGCCGUAAACGUUGGGCACUAGGUGUGGGGUCGAAUUAACCGAUUCCGUGCCGCAGCUAACGCAUUAAGUGCCCCGCCUGGGGAGUACGGCCGCAAGGCUAAAACUC